UCCGGCUUAUCACCGGCAGUCCCACUAGAGUGCCCAACUGAAUGAUGGCAACUAAUGGCGAGGGUUGCGCUCGUUGCGGGACUUAACCCAACAUCUCACGACACGAGCUGACGACAGCCAUGCAGCACCUGUGCUGGCGCUCCGAAGAGGGGCCGAUGUUUCCACCGGGCUCCAGGACAUGUCAAGGGUAGGUAAGGUUUUUCGCGUUGCAUCGAAUUAAUCCACAUAAUCCACCGCUUGUGCGGGUCCCCGUCAAUUCCUUUGAGUUUUAACCUUGCGGCCGUACUCCCCAGGCGGUCGACUUCACGCGUUAGCUUCGUUACUGAGAGUGUCAAACCCCCAACGACCAGUCGACAUCGUUUAGGGCGUGGACUAC
rnacentral:misc_RNA from 1 species